GGAUGUGUGGCCCAAUGGCAAGGCGCUUGACUACGAUCUACUAUGUUAUCAAGAGAUUCUAGGUUCGAUCCCUAGCACGUUCA